AGGCAUUGCCUGCCCAGUGACUAAAGUUAAACGGCCGCGGUAUCCUGACCGUGCAAAGGUAGCAUAAUCACUUGUUCCUUAAUUAGGGACUAGCAUGAAUGGCUAAACGAAGGUUUAACUGUCUCUUAUUUUUAAUCAGUGAAAUUGACCUUUCAGUGAAGAGGCUGAAAUUUAGUAAUAAGACGAGAAGACCCUAUGGAGCUUAAAUUAAAUAGUUUAACUGUUCAACUAAACAAACCUAAGGACCUAACAACUACAGUAUAAACUAAAAAUUUCGGUUGGGGUGACCUCGGAGAACAAAAAAUCCUCCGAAUGAUUAUAACUUAGACCCACAAGUCAAAGUAAAUAAUAUCUUAUUGACCCAAAAAUAUUUUGAUCAACGGACCAAGUUACCCUAGGGAUAACAGCGCAAUCCUAUUUAAGAGUUCAUAUCGACAAUUAGGGUUUACGACCUCGAUGUUGGAUCAGGACAUCCCAAUGGUGCAGA
rnacentral:rRNA from 1 species